GAUAAGUGCUAAAUAAUGCAUAAAUUAAUAUCUUAUUCAUAGCACUUAUCAUUAUGUUAAUUCACAUAUUUUAUAAAUUUAACAAAAAAAAUAUAUUUUCCUUCAUCCUUUCAUUUUAAAUAAAUUAUUCAAGUUAGAUUCUUUUAUUAUUGGUUGAGUCUAAUGGAUGCAGGUCGAAUCAAAUUCAUCUGGGAUGACCCCUGAACCCAAAUCGCAUGCACCCCAUGAAUUGGAUCUUUCCAACCAAUUAGAGUCGAGCCCAAUUUUCUUUUCCAACAUUGAGCUCAUCCCGAACAAAUUCCUUUCACGAAUCUCGGUGCAUCCCGUUCAUGAGCCAUAUCCUGCCGAAUCAUCUUCCUCUUCCCAGCUUAUAUCCCCUUCAUUACCGUUCAACAAAUCCCACGCAUAUCCCACGAACAAACAAAGAAAUCCCAGCCUAUCCGCCGCGUUCAAGGCUUCAAGCUACAACCAGUUCAUUCCCAAUCCGUGAACGCGUCCCAGCAUCCCACGGUUAGCCAUGAGCUUUUACCACGAAAUCCAUCCCAUGUCCGCAAGCUUCCCAGCUUCAAACAAAGCCAGUGCUCCAUCCUCUUCCACGUAACCAACCGAAUGCCCAUGAAUCUAGCCUUCAUCGCCCAUGGAUAAAGCCAGGCUUCCGCUCAUCUCAUGCAUGCCUUCCUCCCCUUCAUCCACAUCGAGUUCAUCUUUAUCCCAUCUCCCAACCAACUUCAGUUCUCAUCCACGAAUUCCUCCCAGCCGACCGUCAUCUUUUCUCCCAAAUAAAUCCCAAUCCUUCCUCUCAACUCCCGGAUCAACUCCAUUCAGCCGCGUCCAACUUCUCAUCCACGUUGAUAUAUGAUCUUAUCUUGAUCCCAUCCGAAGCAUCGUCAACCUCCCAGACUUCACGGAAACAACAAUCCUCACAGCUCAUGAAUCUGUUUCUCCCUCCCGUUUGCAGAUCAAGCCAGCCUUCAUCUCCGCGGAUCCGAUCUUUAUCCCAACCGUGAACACCAUCCCCUGUUUCCCAACCGAGAACACCAUCUCACGUUUGAUCCCAGCUGCCAUAUCAUCCACGGAUCAUUCCGUUCGUGAUGGCGUUCAACGCAUCCUCAGUUUCACGUUCAAUCUGUUCCGACUUCAUCCUCAUCUCAUGCCCAUCUCCCGGAUUUCCAGCUAACGGCAGCACUUCCAAACUCUUCCAGCAUCUCCUCUUAACCGUGAACAUAAUCCUCUGUAUCUCGUUCGCAUCUUUCCCAACUCCCGAAUGAGAACCAGCCAUCACGAUGCAUCCUCUUCCCCUGUUCUGAAACAAAGCUAACAAUCAACCAAAUCCAAGCUCAUCCCCCAGCUCAAUCCCAUCUUCCCCGUGAUCCGUGAGCUCCAACCAUUCCCCUGUUCCGAGAUCUUCUCACAUAACCAUCAACCGAAUCAUCCCAGCAUCCAAACCAACCGAGAUCCUUCUUUCUCCCAUGGGAUAAGCACCAAAUCCAGCAGGACUUCAUCUUUUGGAUCAGCUUCCUCGGCUUCAUCCAUCCGAGCUUCACGGCGUCCGCUCUCAGCACCUCCAACGCGUCCGAGAUCCCCUCCACGGAAUCCCCUGUUUCGGAACCACUCCCAGCCGAGAUCCGAUCCUCUCAACCUUUUGAAAUCCUCCCACGUUCGCCCAUUCGCAGGAAAUCCUCCCAACGUCCCAGCCGUUCUUCCGUUCUCAGCUGCUCAACCGAAGUUCAGUUUCAUCCCGGGAUAUGCUCAACAUCAUCACCUUCUUCCGCGUCAUCCAGCUCUUCGGAUCAAAGCCAGCAUGCCACGCGUUUGGAUCACUCGUUUCCCCUGCAUCCACGGAACAGGAAGCCGUUCCUUAAUCUUAUCUUCCCAUUCGGAAGAGGUGCUGGUGAAGCUAUAAAAGGAGGGAGCUAUCUUCCUUCGGCCCCAUCGAAUCUCCUCAGAGGCCAAACCCCCCCACCGGGGUGGGGGGUUUUCCCUAUCAUCUCAUCACAGGCGGAGUCCCACGAAAACAGAAAAGGGGAGAGAGAGAACUUUUGGGUAUUUCAGGAAUGAAUAGAAGUUCAAGAGGGAGAGGAAGCCGGCGAAAGGAAGAGAUGGAAGCCUGCUGCUGUGCUGCUGCUGCCGUCUCCAACUCCAUACUGGGCUGAUCUUCUCUAGGGCUGGAUGCAGCCCUAACAAAGGAAUACGGGUUUUAUA
rnacentral:lncRNA from 1 species